rnacentral:lncRNA from 1 species
AAGAGGGAGAUGGGAGGUGAAACAGAAGGAAGAGGGCCUCCGGGAAGAAAAUUAGGGACUGUCUAUGAUAUCCAGGGAUUUUUGCAAAGACAGUGAGGAUUGUGAUUACAGAUAGAGCCCCAAGCAGUUGGCUUUUCUAACAGUCUUCUGUGUCCCUUAGUGAAGGCAGGUAUGCAGUGAAGAGGAUAAACACAAACCCCUGGCUGCUUCUGAGGUCUAGCAAUGCUUGGAUUUGUCGAAAGAAUGGAGCUUUCUCUGUUGGGAAAUGGGCACAAAGACACAAACCCGGGGCUUAACCCGCUAGACAAUGCAUGGAAUGUGAACACAAGUUAAUUAUUUCAAAAUGUGUAUCAGAUGUUAUUUAAAUGAUAAUAUAUUCAAUGAUUUUUUUCAUAAUUUAUCGAAGCCUGUGAGAUGCACUGGAUUUCCUUUGUCACAUAGUUUUGAUUUUUGCAGCCUUCUGCAUUGCACACGUGAACUGGACCUUAGGGCAAGCUGCUUGAGAGAGUUCUCGACUACAUUUUUAAACAGUGUUCUGUGAAGGCCUGUGAGUGUCAUGAUAAAACUGUGAAUGACUACAUAGGGACUCUGAUUAGACUAUUGGUUAGGCUCCUGUGGUUUGUAUAGGUCUCCAAUUCCUACUUACUUUGAUGUAUUCCACAAAACCCACCCUGGGUUUUUGUCUCCCCCCCCUCUCUCUUUCUCUCUUUUUUUAUCUGAUUCUUUCCUCUCUACUUACUUAAGUUGCCACUAAAAUAAAUGUGCCUUUUGAAGCAAUGCCC